GAUGAACGCUGGCGGCGUGCCUAAUACAUGCAAGUCGAGCGAACAGACGAGGAGCUUGCUCCUCUGACGUUAGCGGCGGACGGGUGAGUAACACGUGGAUAACCUACCUAUAAGACUGGGAUAACUUCGGGAAACCGGAGCUAAUACCGGAUAAUAUAUUGAACCGCAUGGUUCAAUAGUGAAAGACGGUUUUGCUGUCACUUAUAGAUGGAUCCGCGCCGCAUUAGCUAGUUGGUAAGGUAACGGCUUACCAAGGCAACGAUGCGUAGCCGACCGGAGGGGGGGUUCGGCCACACUGGAACUGAGACACGGUCCAGACUCCUACGGGAGGCAGCAGUAGGGAAUCUUCCGCAAUGGGCGGAAGCUUGACGGAGCAACGCCGCGUGAGUGAUGAAGGUCUUCGGAUCGUAAAACUCUGUUAUUAGUGAAGAACAAAUGUGUAAGUAACUAUGCACGUCUUGACGGUACCUAAUCAGAAAGCCACGGCUAACUACGUG
rnacentral:rRNA from 1 species